CAGUAGCCGCGGGAAUACGUAGGUGGCAAGCGUUGUCCGGAAUUAUUGGGCGUAAAGGGCUCGCAGGCGGUUUCUUAAGUCUGAUGUGAAAGCCCCCGGCUCAACCGGGGAGGGUCAUUGGAAACUGGGAAACUUGAGUGCAGAAGAGGAGAGUGGAAUUCCACGUGUAGCGGUGAAAUGCGUAGAGAUGUGGAGGAACACCAGUGGCGAAGGCGACUCCCUGGUCUGUAACUGACGCUGAGGAGCGAAAGCGUGGGGAGCGAACAGGAUUAGAUACCCGCGUAGUCCCUGUCUCUUAUAC
rnacentral:rRNA from 1 species